rnacentral:rRNA from 1 species
GAUGAACGCUGGCGGCGUGCCUAACACAUGCAAGUCGAACGGAGUCCAGCCUUUAAGACCUUCGGGUCAAAGAGGGGGAGACUGAGUGGCGGACGGGUGAGUAACACGUGGGCAACCUGGCUCAUAGAGGGGGAUAACAGAGAGAAAUUUCUGCUAAUACCGCAUAAGCACACACUGCCGCAUGGCAGGGGGUGAAAAGAGAAUCGCUAUGAGAUGGACCCGCGUCUGAUUAGCCAGUUGGCAGGGUAAUAGCCUACCAAAGCGACGAUCAGUAGCCGAUCUGAGAGGAUGAACGGCCACAUUGGGACUGAGACACGGCCCAAACUCCUACGGGAGGCAGCAGUGGGGGAUAUUGCACAAUGGGGGGAACCCUGAUGCAGCGACGCCGCGUGAGUGAAGAAGUAUUUCGGUAUGUAAAGCUCUAUCAGCAGGGAAGAUAAUGACAGUACCUGAAUAAGAAGCCCCGGCUAACUACGUG